rnacentral:rRNA from 1 species
GGAUUAGGCAUGCAAGUCGAACGAGGAUAUAUCCUUCGGGAUAUAAGGGAGGGCGCAAGGGUGAGUAAUGCAUAGAUUACCUGCCUCUAGGAUAAGGACAACUUUGCGAAAGUGGAGCUAAUACUUAAUAAUACAAAAGUGAAUAAUUCUUUUUUGUCAAUUCGAGGGUAGCAAUACCUUUCGCCUGGAGAGGGGUUUAUGUCCUAUCAGCUUGUUGGUAGGGUAAUGGCCUACCAAGGCAAAGACGGGUAGCCGGCCUUAGUGGGUGGUCGGCCACACUGGGACUGAGACACUGCCCAGACUUCUACGGAAGGCUGCAGUCGAGAAUCUUUCGCAAUGCCCGAAAGGGUGACGAAGCGACGCCGCGUGGGUGAGGAAGGCCCUCGGGUUGUUAUUUUUCUGUCAGGAGUUAAGAAAUGUAGGUGUGCUAAUAUCACGCCUAUUUGACGAAGGCUCCAAAGGAAGUCACGGCUAACUCUGUGCCAGCAGCCGCGGUAAUACAGAGGUGGCAAGCGUUGUUCGGAAUUAUUGGGCGUAAAGAGCACGUAGGUGGGUUUGUAAGUCAGAUGUGAAAGCCUCCUGUUCAACGGGAGAAUUGCAUCUGAAACUACUGAUCUUGAGUGCAGGAGGGGAGAAUGGAAACUUCUGGUGGAGCGGUGAAAUGCGUAGAUAUCAGAAGGGAACGCCGGGCGGCGAAAGCGAUUCUCUGGGCCUAUUACUGACACUCAGUGUGUGAAAGCUAGGGGAGCAAACGGGGUUAGAUACCCCGGUAGUCCUAGCCGUAAACGAUGGGCACUAAGUAGAGGGGUUUU